GGGCCUCGACUAGUGGUAGAGCAUCUGUUUGGCAUUCAGAAGGUCCCAGGUUCAAUUCUUGGCAUCUCCA
rnacentral:tRNA from 1 species